rnacentral:rRNA from 1 species
ACUGGGACUGAGAUACGGCCCAGACUCCUACGGGAGGCAGCAGUGGGGAAUAUUGCACAAUGGGCGCAAGCCUGAUGCAGCGACGCCGCGUGAGGGAUGACGGCCUUCGGGUUGUAAACCUCUUUCAGUAGGGACGAAGCGAAAGUGACGGUACCUACAGAAGAAGGACCGGCCAACUACGUGCCAGCAGCCGCGGUAAUACGUAGGGUCCGAGCGUUGUCCGGAAUUACUGGGCGUAAAGAGCUCGUAGGUGGUUUGUCGCGUUGUUCGUGAAAACUCACAGCUUAACUGUGGGCGUGCGGGCGAUACGGGCAGACUAGAGUACUGCAGGGGAGACUGGAAUUCCUGGUGUAGCGGUGGAAUGCGCAGAUAUCAGGAGGAACACCGGUGGCGAAGGCGGGUCUCUGGGCAGUAACUGACGCUGAGGAGCGAAAGCGUGGGUAGCGAACAGGAUUAGAUACCCUGGUAGUCCACGCCGUAAACGGUGGGUACUAGGUGUGGGUUUCCUUCCUUGGGAUCCGUGCCGUAGCUAACGCAUUAAGUACCCCGCCUGGGGAGUACGGUCGCAAGACUAAAACUCAAAGGAAUUGACGGGGGCCCGCACAAGCGGCGGAGCAUGUGGAUUAAUUCGAUGCAACGCGAAGAACCUUACCUGGGUUUGACAUGCACAGGACGUACCUAGAGAUAGGUAUUCCCUUGUGGCCUGUGUGCAGGUGGUGCAUGGCUGUCGUCAGCUCGUGUCGUGAGAUGUUGGGUUAAGUCCCGCAACGAGCGCAACCCUUGUCCUAUGUUGCCAGCGGGUAAUGCCGGGGACUCGUAGGAGACUGCCGGGGUCAACUCGGAGGAAGGUGGGGAUGACGUCAAGUCAUCAUGCCCCUUAUGUCCAGGGCUUCACACAUGCUACAAUGGCCAGUACAGAGGGCUGCGAAGCCGCAAGGUGGAGCGAAUCCCUUAAAGCUGGUCUCAGUUCGGAUUGGGGUCUGCAACUCGACCCCAUGAAGUCGGAGUCGCUAGUAAUCGCAGAUCAGCAACGCUGCGGUGAAUACGUUCCCGGGCCUUGUACACACCGCCCGUCACGUCAUGAAAGUCGGUAACACC